GGUCGAAAGGGGAAAUUCAUUCGCGUUUCGACUGUCGAAGUUGAGCGUGUUUAUGACGGAUGGUAUUUAUAUUGUCCGCGUAUCACGUUCAUCGAGUCGGCGUCGAACGCGUGCACUUUUCCUCUAGUAGGACGUCGCGAUCCGUUGGGUGUCUGUCUAAGAGUUGAGGUGGAGACCACGGGGCUUUCGUCUUGUGGACCCUUGAUUUUCCGACAGACUCGCUCGACGGUAUAUUUAUGGCGCGGGGCCGCUACUCAGUUAGCGUUCGGCCCGUAGCAAGCGCGUUCCGUGUUUGACGGCGAUCGGACCUGGUGCCGAUUCUGUUCCGGAACGACUGUUGGUUACGGUGCUCUCGAACUGACCUCGA
rnacentral:rRNA from 1 species